rnacentral:tRNA from 1 species
GGUGCUGUGGCUCAAGUGGUAGAGCUCUAGCAUCUUGAGCUGGAGAGCUGAGGCACAGCACCC